AUCAAAUUUGAGAGUAGAAAGCACAUCAAUUUGCUUUCUCACUUUUCAAAAAAAUUCAAAAAAAUUAUUAGUAACCAUGGAGACGUCCAGCUCGAAUGGCAGCUCCAGCCAAAUCCCUUCCUGCGGCAGCAAUUCCCGCCUGGAGGCUCUGCAGGCAGCUUCGGAGUCCGGGGCGUGCCCCUGCCCCAAAGGCCAAGGCGGAUGCAUCUGCACUAAUGGCAUUUGCAUGAAGGGCGAGUGCCCGAAUGGCAUCUGCCAGAGGAACCAUCAGGGACCACCACCUUCUCUCUGAUCCCAGACCUGGAUUUCGAUGAGGUUUGACGCUUUCAGCUCCCAAACAGUACCCUCCCUAACCUGAAAAUAGCUCCUUGCAACAGAUUCAGAUAUAUUACAGAAUUCAGAUACAAAUAAAAUUCCCUUUAACUAGUGCCAGCA